rnacentral:sRNA from 1 species
UUCCGAGGAGGCGGUGCUGGGGCGGGCGCAGGACUGCAGGCUGGGGCUCCGCUCCCCCGCGGGAGCCCGCGCGUGGUUCCCAGCGAAGUCCCCGCGCGGCUGGGCCCAGCGUGAGUAUUCUCCGCCCGCUGUCCUCCCCCUGGAGGCGGCAGCGCCCGUUUAUUUGAGGAGGAUGAGGCUGUCACUACUACAGUUGGGACUGUUUCAUACUCCUUGCUCUUGUGCUAUGCCAGGGGGUACUGUCUAACCCACAAGUCUCUGCCAGGAAUGUUGCCGUCCACACUGGAGUGUAAGACACCUGCGGAGCUCGUCUGUGGGGCUCAUGUUGGCUGAGGCUCUGAACUACAGAAUUGCAAACAACCAAGGGAACGCCCCAGGCCCCCAAGCUUCUAAUGUGAGGAAAAACACGGAAUGACAAGUGUGGGAAAGAGCAAGCACUAAAUUACUGUCAGAAAAAUAAACGGAGUAGCACAGUGCUGCUCGGUGAUUUACGGGGGCAAUUAGUCACCACCCCACGGCGCUGCUGAGGACAGCACAGCAGCAGACAAGUCAGGCCCACGAGGAAGAAGAGGCUUUGCACUGCUCUCCAGACAACUUUUCAAACAACAAGAGAGGAUAUUUGAGCACAUUAGGUUUUGUGUCUUCAUUCUGGGUACCUACUCUUCAUAUUAUUCUACCAACUUAAUACAUAAACAUAUUUUUAGCACAAUAUG